rnacentral:tRNA from 1 species
AAGGACUUACGUUAAAUUAAACCUAGGACCUUCAAAGCCCUAAAAAUGGCACCAAGGCCAUAGUUCUUG